CAGUCACCUCUGCUGCCCAGGACGCUCAGCUGCCCCCUGAGGUCCCGCCCUUCCAGCCCCGUUCCUCCUCCCCUCCCACUGCAGCCUCCAUUCUCUCUCGGGGGUCCCCACAGACCAGCCCCGUCACGCCCAGACCCACACCAGCCGCCGGCACACGCCCUACAGCCGUGGCUAUGCCCACCGCAGCCACGUUGCCGCGAGAUAAAUGACCGGCAAUGGCGGGCCAGCGCCCAGGUCACCAGCACUUUCCCAAGGGCACGAAUAUCCACCAAUUCCCUUGCCUUCCCCGUGCCCCCAGUCCCCGCUCCCACCUUGCUCCCUGAUGGCUCCCUGAGCAGGUGUUGCUGUGGGCACACCUGCCUUGGGUGUAGACCACCAGGGACCUGGAAGGACAUGGUGGUCGGGAUUCGGGGGACGGGUGGAAGGCACACACAAAUUUGUCUCCGUGGCCUCCUGACACCCGCCAACAGAGCAGCAACAGAAUAAGUGAGGCGUGAAGCCAGGAGGAGGGAGAGGUAACAGCCGCUGAGGAAAGAGAGCAGCUAACUCUGGGGAGAAGGGAGGAGGAAGGCCACUGAACACAGCGGCAGGUGCCAAGGAGGAGGGAGCAGGGUGGGAGGUGAGGGGUGGGAUGCUGGCGCAGGAGACACAUGAGGCUAAUGCGACCCGAGGCCGGCGGCAUGGACACUGGGUCCAGGGAGCUGAGGGACACAGCUCAGGACCUCAUGAGUAGAUGACAUCGUGUCGGCAGCCUGAAAUUGGCUAUCGUAGGAAUGUGUGCAUCUCUGAACCCAGCGAAUGCCACCAGCCAGAGCUUCCCCCCGGCCCCUCCCCCAGACAGCUGGCUGUUAAACAUUUACCAGCACAUCACUGUUUAAAUGCCUGGACCUCGGUCCAAGAGGACAGAAGGCGUAUUCUCAACAGAAGUUGAGCAGAGGAGCCUGUGGACUCCACCCCACGGCAUCAGACACGGAAUGCUGGGAAGAACAGCGCCUUCUCUGACCUGCUGGCCCUCGUCAGCAGAUCUGGGGGUCGGUCCAGAGUGAAGAUCGGAGCAUCCGGGCAGUGUGAGGGGUCCCCGAGGAACUGGAAAGGCCCCCCUCCCCGACAGGAAUGAAAGCUCAGGGGCACAGUCCUCUGGAGAAACCUUUCCAAGGAAAGAGCCCAGAUAACGGAGAAGAGGAGAGCAGGGACAAACAGAAGCCGUGUGGGAGCCGAGAAGACAUCACAGCCGACUCUACCUGAUAGUCUCAGAGGCCCCAGAGAAGGCAGUCCGUCCGCGAGGAAAGAACUGGAUGCUGUGAAAAGGGGCAGUGGGACAAGGAAGAGCUCUUGGAAAUUAAAAGCGUAACUGGAAAAACACAAGAAAUGCAGGACACGGACUGGACACACUUGUGGACAUUUCCUGGGAAGCAGAAUAAAAAUUCUAAGAGAUGGAAAAUGGGGAGAAAAGAUAAUCAAAUGGCCAGCUAAGGAGACCCCACCUCUGCUUCACACGCACCCUGGGAGAGAACACAGAGGGAGCAGAAGGGGUGAUUAUUAAAGAAAUCGUAGGAGAGAUUGUCCUGCUUUUUCCUUCCUUAGUGAAACGGCCCACUAAGGGCCCCAAUGACUUUCACGAAAGCAGCUCCAGGAGACAUCAUGAGAAAUUAGACAAGGCCAGAGGAGGAAGACAAGAUACCAAAGGCUCCCAGGAGAAGCAGGAGGGUUACUCACAAAGGUCAGCAAUUCAGAAUUCCCGGAGCAGCAGACUUCUCACUAGGAGCUCAGAAACUCAUGUUUUAAAUACGUAAGUUUUUGGAAGCUGGAAGACGGAAGAAAUGCCCUCCAAAUUCCAAGGGAAAGAGAAUUCCAAGUUCUAAAUCCAGGCAAAUAAUCAGUUAGGUUUGGGGGAGAAUAAAGAUACCUUUCAGACAUGCAAUACUUCAAAACUAUUUUUUCCUGUGUGUUCUUUCCUGGCUCAGCACUCGAGGAUGCGCUCCAGCCAGCUGAAGGAGGAGACCUGGUGUGAGAAAGCAGGGGCAGGAGAAGCAGGGCUCGGCCCAGAGGAGACACAAAAGGGCAGCCUGGCCGGUGGGGGCGGUCAGGACAUCUCGCUGCUGGGCAGCCUGCGGGCGCACAGACCAGAAGGGCAGAGAGACAGGAGGGCACCGGGAGGGCGCCCUCCAGGAACGAAGCAAAUCCUGCAGGUUAGCCGAUGGGGCUGGUGGUGAGCGAGGGGUUUAUGGCUCCGGUGGAGAGCUUCAGAAAAUUAACUUCGGUUCACGGACAAAUUUAAAAAAAGGGGGAGGGGGCAAUUAUUAACUGCAGAAAAAGCAAACAAUAUACAAAGAACGAAGUAUAAUCGUAACACAUAGAUGGCUCUGCUGGAGAAUAUUCACCUUGUCAUAAUAAAAAUUAACAGAAGAAAUGAUGGUGGUUGAAGCAAAACCCGCGAUCCACCCACAGUCAGAGGGCAGAGGCCGGAAGUCAGUGCGUGUCUGGCCCGGAGGCUCUGGAAAGACCAGUGGCCACUACUUGCAUUAACUCGGCCGAGGUCUUCGAGGCAACAGACUGAGACUCUGAAUCCGGAUCUGACUUCAGAGCAUCCCCCCAAACUCUGCGAGCCCGGCCCAGAAACCAACGGAGGCCAGGGGCGGAGAGACCUCCAAGUCUUCAAAUGCUGGAAGAUUCCGGGAAGAAUGCCGAGGACACACAGAAGGCGGUGCUGCAUCAGGACCCUGUGCCCGUGGAGCUCAUGAGGGUAGACACAACAGGGCCACUGAGGCUCCAGACAACCCAUGUGCUUCCCGCUGCCACUGGUGCUGUGCACAGUGGUGUGGCAGGUGCCCAGCUGGGACCCAGGGGCUCCCCCACCCCUCGGCCUGGGCCAGCUGCACCCCAGGGCAGGCUGGGGAAAGGGACGCUGCGGGCAAUCACUUGGUCUGCCCGCCAGUGACAGCUGGGGAGGAGAAGGGACAGAGCUGUCAGGGCCCAGCAGAAGGCAAACUCUAUCACCCCGUGUCAGAGUCGACACUGGGGUCCGGGUGCAGUAGGUCACCUGCUCGAGGUCACACAGCUGCCCUGAGACCCAAAUUCUGUUUCUAAGUCACCAGGAUGGCUCCAUGUUCCACUGACGCCCAGCGCCCAUCCACUCACUUGCCUCAACCCGCCGGGGUCCACCGAGGGCCAGGCUCCGUGCUGCCUGCGGGGGCUCACGGUGGAGAAGGCCGGCCUGGGCUAACGAGGGAACGUCAGCGAGGAUGAGAGCGGCCCUGCUCUAACCACCGCUCCUGGUCACGCCCUGGACCACCACAGCCACCCUGCAAGGACUUUCCAUUCAACAGUGCCUACAAGUGGGAAGGGACAUCUCCUAAGAGGAUGGUUUCCUCCGUAGGUAACAUUCACAUUUCAGAGACGGAAGCACGAGUCAGGACGACCUGGCUGUGCUUCUGGAGAGAAUGCCGCGGUGGGCCUCUGCCCUGCUGGGAACGGGGGCUGUGUCCCCAAGGGUCCUCCCCCACCCGAUGCUCAGAGGCCUCGUGCAGCCGGAGGCCACCAUGACACAUGCCAUGGCUUUCCUUUGCCUCCCUUUAAUGACCACACUUCUUCCUUUCUCCUUCUGCCUCAGUUUAAAUGUCUGUUCUUUUUUUUUUUCUUUUUUUUAAUGGACCUUUAUAAGCCAUUUAAGCCCUGCCCUCCACGCGGCUGGAUGUAAACAAGCACACGUGCCAACCACUGUUGGGGGCCAGACCUGUGCCUAGGGCUUCCCGUCCAUCCCGCCUCUGAGCAGACACAAGGUGCCCGGCCUGGAGCUGCACCGGGGAGGCUCGGAGACGCGACCUCCUGCUCAGCAAGUGCAGCCAGUAUAGGCAGGACACGAGGAAGGGAAGGGACGGCUCUGGCUUGUCUGAAGACAGACCCUUAGAACGUUACUUAUGGCAAUGGCGUCUCAGAAGCUCCUUCUUCCUUGACAACUGAGCAGCACAUGAGCCACUCAGAGAACGGGGGAAGACACGGCGGAAGAACCGUGGCUCACAGCCGCUUCAGGCACCCAGGCCGUGACGUAUCCCUGCGUCACUCAAAAUAGCUGCUAUAGAGCCUAAGAAAGCCCUCUCUGCCUCCCUGGACUCCCUGCUCCACGCACUUGGUUAAACCUCACUUCUCAUUCCUUACGUUACCCGUGGCUGCUUCCUGCUCACUGCCGUCAUGAGGCUGGUGGGCAGAGUGAUGGGUAGCCUUCGCUUUGGAAGGCUUUUCCUUAUUUUAGUCUCUGCCACUGCUGGAGGGCCCCAGCCAUGAGCCCCUGCUGUUCUGUAGCGUGGUGGGACAGCCAUGGCUCAGGUGAGAGACUUUCAGGGGUGACCUCGAACAGCACACGCCAGGAGACAUUAUGACCUGCGCCCUGGGUCGGAGGUGACCUUAUCGAUGUCCUACAGAACCACUCCUAAAUCCCAAAGAUAAACAGGAAGAUCCCAACAACGUGCCGAAUUAAUGUAGAGUUUCACCAUUUUAUUUUUAGGCCAACACGUACCAAUAAACACUAAGUGAUUGACACGUAUUGAUUACGCACUUGUGUAGGGAUUAUUGCCCUCAUUUCACGGGUGAGGAGACAGGCUGGGGGUUGUCCAGUCACCCGCCCUCAGCCCAGGCUUCUGACUCCCAAGUUCUGCCGCGUUCCCCUUUUCCAAGUACCAGGCCCUCGAAGUGACUCUGAUUAGGAGCUCAGGAUAAGGUAAGAAGACGGCGACCAAACAUUUAACAACCCACUGUUUGGGGGAAAAAAAAAAAAAACCCAAAGAACAAAAAAACGCAAACUGACUUGUCACAUUUGCCAAUUUCCAUGAUGUAAAUUCUUCCCACCCUGCUGAUUUCCAGCUACCAGUGUCAUGUUAACUGAAGUCAUAAAAUUCCUGAAAAUGUGAGCCAGUCCACGUGUACUCCAGCACAUGUCUGGACAGUUUUCCUCCUCUGCCAUCUCACUCCGUCCAGAAGGAUCUGUUCAAGUGCCAGCACCUUGCAAAAGCCUUCCGUGACCUCCCAGGUACAACCCACACCAUUUUCUGGCCCCUCCGCCCCUUGUACACUUAUCAAUCACAAUGGCUAUCCCCCAGCACGAUCACUGUUGUGGGGAACCCCCAAAGAUAGGGACCUCAUCAGUGCCCAGAGGGGACCCAGGGGAGACAGCGUUUCAGAGACAACUAGAAAGAAAUUCCACUUAGGAGCACACAGGCAACAAAAUCUAAAUCCAGUAUUAGCAAACAGAAUCCAACAGCCCUUCAAUAAAACAAUUCACCGUGACCAAGAAUGGUUUCUUCUAAGGAUGGGUCGCAUCAAGAAAUCUAUCAGCCUGGCCUGAAUCACCACUACACUUAAAAUGGGAAAGAAAUUAUGAUUGUAUUAAUUAGAUUAAUAAAUGCCAAAAGUCAUUUGGUGAAAAAAAAAUGCAGAAGGCUUCUGAAAACAAUAAAAUAGGACUAGGCGAAAACAAAAUUAUAUGAAAUAUUUUUAUGAGAAAGCAAAUAUUUUACCUACACAAUUGACCCUUGAAUGACGUGGGGGUUAGGGGUUAAGGGGCGCUGGCCUCCCCACCCCGUGUGGUCAAAAAUCUGUGUAUCAUUUUUUAUUUGCCCAAACUUAAUUACUAAUAGCCUACUGUUACCAAUAGAGUAAAGGGCUAAUGCCUACUUUGCAUGUUACACGUUAGACACCAUUUUUACAAUAAAGAGAAAAGAAACUGUUAAAAUCAUAAGAAAUACUUUUACAGUGCUAAAAAAAUCUGUCAGUGGGCCUCUGCAGGGCAAUCCCGGGUCGUUCAAGGCUCAACUGCCCAUAAACCUGUAAAUUUGUUUCUAAUGUCUAAUUAGAAUGUUAAUUUUUAAGUGAACAAAAAUGCCCUCAAACUUCAUAUGGACAUAGAACUUCAUAUAGCUCAUGGUUCAUGACCACAAUGGCCUCCUCAGUGCGGUCCUCCCAGCUGUAAAAGGAAGGGGCUGAACCGACAUAGUGCCCGAGGACUCCGGUGCCAGACCCUGGGGACAGACAAGCUUUAAGGAAAGCUUAAAAGGAAGCACAGCAAGAAGGACUUGCUUUUGGGGCACCUGGGUGGCUCAGUCCGUUGAGUGUCCGACUUCGGCUCAGGUCAUGAUCUCACAGCUCGUGAGUUCGAGCCCCGCGUCGGGCUCUGUGCCGACAGCUCAGAGCCUGGAGCCCGCUUCCGAUUCUGUGUCUCCCUCUCUCUCUGCCCCUAACCCACUUGCAUUCUGCUCUGUCUCCCUCAAAAAUAAAUAAACAUUAAAAAAUUUUUUUAAAGAAGAGACUUGUUUUGCAGAUAUUAAAACAGCCUAAAGCCGCCAUGAUAUCUGUGCAGAAACAGGCAAAUCUCCUCAAUACAACAGAUAAGAGACUCCAGAGACAGACCCGUGUUUAUAAAGAAACUAAAUAUGUCACACAGGUGGCAUGUUAGUUAAGAGGAGAAAGAAUAUUUGCCAAAAUAAACUGGUCCUGGCAUAACAGACUAAACAUCUCAGAACACAAAAUUCAGGAUCCACCUCAUUCUACAUCCACAAGUAAGAUCCAGAUAGAUUAAUGCUUUAAAUCAGAGGGUAAAAAAAAAAAAAGAAAUCAAGAGAACAUGUAUACAGGAGAAAGUGGGGGAGGCAUUCCUAAGAAGAGAGACAUACUUGAAGACUGCACAAAGUAGACUUCGUAUGGCAAAAGCCAUGUAAACAAAAUCAGAAGAAACACCAGAGUGGGAAAAUGUACCCGCUGCACAUGUAACAGACGAUCGGCUCUUAAGCCCAGGCUAGUUUCCUACAGACGGGAAAGACAAAGAAAGGAUCUUCUAGGAGGGGUGGAAGACGCGCACAGGGAAUUCAAGGAGCGGACUGAAGAGCCCCAACCUCACCGGUACCUGGGGAAAGGCAAAGCAGCACGACACCACGUUUGACGCGGCAGAGCACAAAGUAUGGAGACAUUAGAUGGAAACGUGAGGACACGGGCAGGCAGGUGCGAGAACCACUACGGCAGCUCUUGCUUUGGGAGGUAGGCUGGGUGUUCACUGAAAUGUCAAGUACAUGGACCUCAGAAGAAUCCAAAAAUGGCAGGGUCCCACGUGUGUCAAAGAAAUAUGGGUCAUAUGGGUGUAAAUUACACCUACAUGCAGUUUGUGAGCCUGGAGAAACGUAUGGACAGACACAAAUAUGUAUAUUCAAUGCAAGGGUGUUGCUACUGGGUUUCUUCUUGGAAGGAUGGAAAUGGUAGGGGGGCCAGUACGUUUCAUACCCGCCUCUAUUAUUUCACUGGUUAAAAUAAACAGGGAUUACUUCUAUAAUUUAAAAAAGUGUAACACGCGGUUUUAAAGCGCUUUCUAGACCGAAAACCAAUACCAAUGGCAAGGCUUAUAACUGGUGUAACCAUUGUCAUUGCUUACAGGGUCCCUAGGCUUGUUACGGCUUCAGCGUAGAGCGAUCAAGGAUUCUCAGCAUCGUAAUAACCUGGUAAAUAGGAAUCAAAAAGGUAGCAGCUGGAGCUCUCCCUGCGGAGCUCGAUGGAGAGAAAAUGAAUCACAGCACCACGUGCAGCUAUUGGCUGGACCUAAAUUGUUCCUCACUCUGAGAAUUAGUUAAGUGGCUGAGCAAUAAAGCAGAGAGAUUGGAGAGUUCUUUCUCAGCACAACGGCCUUGACUUCUGCCCUUUCAGUCGGCAUGGCUUCCUCGGGGACUGUGGCGUGCUACAGAGUCCCAGGGGGGGCCUCGGGAAGGCGUGCUCCGGCCCCCUCCUCCCCCGCCCCUGGCUGCCCCAGCAGCCCUGCGGCCUCGAGGCUCCGGACAAACCAGUUCAUCCAACUUGACUGAAAACCCAUCACUGGGGCCGAGCUGGGCCAGACCCGUGCCAGGCCUUGGGUUGCGUCAGUGACUCCUUCAUUUCCGGCCAAGUGCUAGGGUGCCAAGGAAUUAGGCAUGGGGAGGCGACACAGACCCUGGCCCAAGGCGGCUCGUGGUUCACGACCACAAUGGCCUCCUCAGUGCGGUCCUCCCAGCUGUGAAAGGAAGGGGCUGAACCCACACACUGCCCGAGGACUCCUGUGCCAGACCCUGGGGACAGACAGACCCAGGCUCAGAGCCCCAGUUCACAGACCGUCGGUGCCAGAAGAGAGCCCAGCAGGGCUGGAGAGAGCAGCCGGGGCCACGUCUCAGGCGGGCGUUAGGCCCCCGCAGAGGAGAGAACUGAGCCAAGAGCAGUGGGAAGGGGAGAGGUAGGCUCUGCCUGGACGUCACAGGGAGGAGGCAGUGGGGCUGGUGCCCACCGGGCGACAACUGCAGGGUACACGUGCACUUGUGUCCUUUGUCAGCAGCACACAGGGCCGUCAGAAACCGGGACCGUGUGCUGCACGAGGCUCUGAAAAUGCAAAGAUGGACAGAGCCUUGUUCCCACGGUCUGGGUCGGCUCCGGCUGCUACAACAACAGCCCACGGGCCAGGGGCUCGGACAACAGGCAUUUGCUUCCUGCAGCUCUGGAGGAUGGAGUCCAGGAACAAGGUGCUGGGAAGCUGGGGGUCUGGGGAGGGCCUCCCCUCGGGGUGAGUGUAUGGGGAACUCGUGAGCUCUCAUUCCUCUUCUUACAAGACAAGGACACCAGCGCCUGUCAGACUGGGGCCCCACCCUCGUUGACUUCCGCAGAGGCCCUGUCUCCAAACACAGCCACACAGCGGGUCAGGACGUCAACAUAUGAACUUGCAGGGGACACACUCACUCCAUACAUGACCCCUCCAGGUGCCUGGUUGCUCCAAAGGCAUAAAGAGGGGAGGAGCCCCAGUUGUCAUAGACAAGGUGGGAGCUGGGACUUAGGAUGAACAGUGGUGUGGCACAGAGUAAAGGGUAUUAAGUGAAGGGGUGGGAGGGUUAGAGUGAGUUGGGGGGCAGAGUGGGCAUUCAAGCUAAGGGGCCUGAGUGAGGACAGGCCGUGGUGCCUAUGACGGCAGGGAGGCUUGGAGAAAAGACCAAGGUGCAGGGGGCACCGUGGGGGUGGGGCAGUGGGUGAGGAAUCUGAAAAGGCUUCAAGGAAGACACGGACGCCAGGCCAAGGAUGUCAUCCUCUAGCCCCAAACCCCCGGCGACUCAAGCAGGGGCCUCGGG